rnacentral:rRNA from 1 species
UACGUAGGGUGCAAGCGUUAAUCGGAAUUACUGGGCGUAAAGCGUGCGCAGGCGGUUUUGUAAGUCUGAUGUGAAAUCCCCGGGCUUAACCUGGGAAUUGCAUUUGUGACUGGAAGGCUAGAGUGUGUCAGAGGGGGGUAGAAUUCCACGUGUAGCAGUGAAAUGCGUAGAGAUGUGGAGGAACACCGAUGGCGAAGGCAGCCCCCUGGGUCAAGAUUGACGCUCAUGCACGAAAGCGUGGGGAGCAAACAGG